GACGAACCGGGCUUCGGCCCGGGGCAAAGCCGCGAACGGGUGAGUAUCACGUGGGUAACCUGCCCCGAUGACCGGGACAACCCGAGGAAACUCGGGCUAAUACCGGAUGUGCUCCUCGCACACCAGUGCGAGGAGGAAAGGAAGCUUCGGCCUCCGCAUCGGGAUGGGCCCGCGGACCAUUUGCUUGUUGGUGAGACAAAGGCUUACCAAGGCAACGAGCCGUAGCUGAUCUGAGGGGAUGAGCAGGCACACUGGGACUGACACACGUCCCGGACUCCUACGGGGGGCAGCAGUGGGGAAUCUUGGACAAUGGGCGCAAGCCUGAUCCAGCCAUGCCGCGUGAGUGAAGAAGGCCUUCGGGUUGUAAAGCUCUUUUGUCAGGGACGAUAAUGACGGUACCUGAAGAAUAAGCCCCGGCAAACUUCGUGCCAGCAGCCGCAGUAA
rnacentral:rRNA from 1 species